rnacentral:rRNA from 1 species
GGUGAAAGGNUUGCUGCCUGAAGAAGAGCUUGCGUCUGAUUAGCUAGUUGGUGGGGUAAGAGCCUACCAAGGCGACGAUCAGUAGCUGGUCUGAGAGGAUGAUCAGCCACACUGGGACUGAGACACGGCCCAGACUCCUACGGGAGGCAGCAGUGGGGAAUUUUCCGCAAUGGGCGAAAGCCUGACGGAGCAAUACCGCGUGAGGGAGGAAGGCUCUUGGGUUGUAAACCUCUUUUCUCAGGGAAGAANAAAAUGACGGUACCUGAGGAAUAAGCAUCGGCUAACUCCGUGCCAGCAGCCGCGGUAAUACGGAGGAUGCAAGCGUUAUCCGGAAUGAUUGGGCGUAAAGGGUCCGCAGGUGGCAUUGUAAGUCUGCUGUUAAAGAGUUUGGCUCAACCAAAUAAAAGCAGUGGAAACUACAAAGCUAGAGUGUGGUCGGGGCAGAGGGAAUUCCUGGUGUAGCGGUGAAAUGCGUAGAUAUCAGGAAGAACACCGGUGG